rnacentral:rRNA from 1 species
GCAAGUCGAGGGGUAACAGGGAAGCUUGCUUCCGCUGACGACCGGCGCACGGGUGCGUAACACGUAUACAACUUACCUUUAACUGGGGAAUAGCCCGAAGAAAUUCGGAUUAAUGCCCCAUAACAAUAAGAAUUCGCAUGUUUUCUUAUUUAAAGCUCCGGCGGUUAAAGAUGGGUAUGCGUCCUAUUAGUUAGUUGGUGAGGUAACGGCUCACCAAGACUACGAUAGGUAGGGGUUCUGAGAGGAUGAUC